rnacentral:rRNA from 1 species
UACGUAGGGUGCGAGUGUUAAUCGGAAUUACUGGGCGUAAAGCGUGCGCAGGCGGCGCGUUAAGACAGGUGUGAAAGCCCCGAGCUUAACUUGGGAAUUGCGCUUGUGACUGGCGUGCUGGAGUGUGGCAGAGGGAGGUGGAAUUCCACGUGUAGCAGUGAAAUGCGUAGAGAUGUGGAGGAACACCGAUGGCGAAGGCAGCCUCCUGGGCCAGCACUGACGCUCAUGCACGAAAGCGUGGGGAGCAAACAGG